rnacentral:rRNA from 1 species
UACGUAGGCAGCGAGCGUUGUUCGGAGUUACUGGGCGUAAAGGGUGUGUAGGCGGUUGUUUUAAGUUUGGUGUGAAAUCUCCCGGCUCAACUGGGAGGGUGCGCCGAAUACUGAAUGACUUCGAGUUACGGUAGAGGGGGAUGGAAUUCCGCGUGUAGCAGUGAAAUGCGUAGAUAUGCGGAGGAACACCGAUGCGAAGGCAGUCCCCUGGACCUGUAACUGACGCUCAUGCACGAAAAGCGUGGGGGAGCAACAGG